ACGAUGAAGAGUUUGAUCCUGGCUCAGGAUGAACGCUAGCGGGAGGCCUAACACAUGCAAGCCGAGCGGUAUUUGUCCUUCGGGACAGAGAGAGCGGCGUACGGGUGCGGAACACGUGUGCAACCUACCUUUAUCAGGGGGAUAGCCUUUCGAAAGGAAGAUUAAUACCCCAUAAUAUAAACCAAGGCAUCUUGAUUUAUUGAAAACUCCGGUGGAUAGAGAUGGGCACGCGCAAGAUUAGAUAGUUGGUAGGGUAACGGCCUACCAAGUCAGUGAUCUUUAGGGGGCCUGAGAGGGUGAUCCCCCACACUGGUACUGAGACACGGACCAGACUCCUACGGGAGGCAGCAGUAAGGAAUAUUGGUCAAUGGGGGCAACCCUGAACCAGCCAUGCCGCGUGCAGGAUGACUGCCCUAUGGGUUGUAAACUGCUUUUGUCAGGGAAUAAACCUUUCCACGUGUGGAAAGCUGAAUGUACCUGAAGAAUAAGGAUCGGCUAACUCCGUGCCAGCAGCCGCGGUAAUACGGAGGAUCCAAGCGUUAUCCGGAUUUAUUGGGUUUAAAGGGUGCGUAGGCGGCCCUAUAAGUCAGUGGUGAAAGACGGCAGCUUAACUGUCGCAGUGCCUUUGAUACUGUAGGACUUGAAUCUAUUUGAAGUGGGCGGAAUAAGACAAGUAGCGGUGAAAUGCAUAGAUAUGUCUUAGAACACCGAUUGCGAAGGCAGCUCACUAAGUUAUUAUUGACGCUGAUGCACGAAAGCGUGGGGAUCGAACAGGAUUAGAUACCCUGGUAGUCCACGCCCUAAACGAUGAUAACUCGAUGUUUGCGAUACACAGUAAGCGUCCAAGCGAAAGCGUUAAGUUAUCCACCUGGGGAGUACGGUCGCAAGAUUGAAACUCAAAGGAAUUGACGGGGGCCCGCACAAGGCAGCUUACUAUGGUCUUAUUGACGCUGAGGCACGAAAGCGUGGGGAGCGAACAGGAUUAGAUACCCUGGUAGUCCACGCCGUAAACGAUGCUAACUCGUUUUUGGGCUUUCGGGUUCAGAGACUAAGCGAAAGUGAUAAGUUAGCCACCUGGGGAGUACGUUCGCAAGAAUGAAACUCAAAGGAAUUGACGGGGGCCCGCACAUUACUAUGGUCUUAUUGACGCUGAGGCACGAAAGCGUGGGGAUCAAACAGGAUUAGAUACCCUGGUAGUCCACGCCCUAAACGAUGAAUACUCGCUGUUAGCGAUAUACAGUUAGCGGCUAAGCGAAAGCGUUAAGUAUUCCACCUGGGGAGUACGGCCGCAAGGGUGAAACUCAAAGGAAUUGACGGGGGCCCGCACAAGCGGAGGAGCAUGUGGUUUAAUUCGAUGAUACGCGAGGAACCUUACCCGGGCUUGAAAGUUAGUGAAGGUCGCAGAGACGCGACCGUCCUUCGGGACACGAAACUAGGUGCUGCAUGGCUGUCGUCAGCUCGUGCCGUGAGGUGUUGGGUUAAGUCCCGCAACGAGCGCAACCCCUAUGUUUAGUUGCCAGCACGUCAAGGUGGGGACUCUAAACAGACUGCCUGCGCAAGCAGAGAGGAAGGUGGGGACGACGUCAAGUCAUCAUGGCCCUUACGUCCGGGGCUACACACGUGCUACAAUGGAUGGUACAGCGGGCAGCUACAUAGCAAUAUGAUGCCAAUCUCUAAAAGCCGUUCACAGUUCGGAUCGGGGUCUGCAACUCGACCCCGUGAAGUUGGAUUCGCUAGUAAUCGCGUAUCAGCAAUGACGCGGUGAAUACGUUCCCGGGCCUUGUACACACCGCCCGUCAAGCCAUGGAAGCUGGGGGUACCUAAAGCAUGUAACCGCAAGGAGCGUGUUAGGGUAAAACCGGUAACUGGGGCUAAGUCGUAACAAGGUAGCCGUACCGGAAGGUGCGGCUGGAAUACCUCCCUA
rfam:Parastrongyloides trichosuri strain KNP genome assembly, scaffold: PTRK_contig0000531